AUGGGCCUACGGGAGGCAGCAGUGGGGAAUAUUGGGCAAUGGGCGCAAGCCUGACCCAGCAACGCCGCGUGAAGGAAGAAGGCUUUCGGGUUGUAAACUUCUUUUCUCAGGGACGAAGCAAGUGACGGUACCUGAGGAAUAAGCCACGGCGAACUACGUGCCAGCAGCCGCGGUAAUACGUAGGUGGCAAGCGUUAUCCGGAUUUACUGGGUGUAAAGGGCGUGUAGGCGGGAAAGCAAGUCAGAUGUGAAAACCACGGGCUCAACCUGUGGCCUUCCUUUGAAACUGUUUUUCUUGAUUACUGG
rnacentral:rRNA from 1 species